GCCUGGUGUUAUUUUGUAGAUGUAGUUGAUCGAAGCUUUCAAAAUUUUGAAUUUUAAUAUUUCACUCUGAAUAUUGUACAUGUGAACAACUUUAUUGAUAAUACAUCUUCAAAUUAUUGGCAUUUCAGAUCCGAGGAGUAAUUAUUUUAUCAAGAAUUUCUAGCUGAUAUGCAUCCGGUCGAAAUGUCUCAGUUAUUCUGUAGGAU
rnacentral:lncRNA from 1 species